rnacentral:lncRNA from 10 species
ACCGAGCGAAGCCUGCACCGUCUCGGCCGCGGAGAAGGCGAGCAGCGAGCCCUCUUUGGCCAGGAAGCCUUUGCCGUCCUCCGCGUCAGCCUGCAGCGCCUCCGCCUUGUCGAAGUUACCGCCGCCGGGCAGCGGCUGCGGCGCGAACUUGCGGGCCGCUGCCGCCUCCUGGUGCUGGGGCGACGCGGAGAAGCCGCCGGGGAGCGUGGCCAUGAGCGUAGAGGGUAGAUCUGACGGGUGGAACAAGGAUGAGUUGUUCAGAGUCAAGUCUGCAAGGGUGAGCCAGCAGAAUGGGGGUGAGGUCCCAACACUGCAAUGACCUGGGCAGGGCACUUCACCUGACCGAACCCCAGGUAGAGGGAGAAUAUCACCUGCCUCUCGUGUUUCACUGCAAUGUGGUGAGGACCGAAUGAGAGAAGUCUGCAAAUGUACGAAGCACUCUCAUUAACAAGGUGGAUGAUCAGAUUGGGUAAUUUUGUUUCAGAUCAAAUGCCAGAUGUGGCAAAAGACUGAUUUUCAUCGUUCUGAAAAUGACACUGAUGAUGAGCUGCCAAAAUAUUUUGAGCUCUGACUGCAUCAUCGAAAUAAGUGCCUGGCGUCCGUCCCCAGGUGACUACUUUGAAAGGAUGCAUUCUUCACAUGCAACCCCUUAAUUGUCUCGUGGCUCUAACCAGAAGGCUUCUAGGCCCCUGUUCCUCAAAAUGGGGUCCCAGGAACAGCAGUCUAGGCCACACCCGGGAGCUUGUUGGCAAUGCAGGCUCUCCCACCCCAGACCGGCAGAGCAGA